UAGAAGAUGCGUCGAAUUCUUCUAAAUUUUCUUGACUCUUUAAGAACUCCGGAAAUGCACUUAUGUUACAAGAUUCCAGACGCAAUCGCCUCAACAUUGGGAAAGAGAAGUUUGCAUCACUUAAAGGAAGUUGUUUUGGAAAAUCAAUCACAUUGAAAGAAAGGUCUAAGGAUAAAAGACUGCUCUUCCACAACCAAUUAGGCACAACACCAUGGAUAUGGUUGCUAGAAAGAUCUAAGUCAACCAACUUGUCUUGUGUUUUGAUGAACUCUGGAAACGCACUUAUGUUACAGGAUGUCAAACGCAAGUCUUUCAACAUUGGAAAUGAAAAGUUUGCAUCAUUUAAGGGAAGCUGUUUUGGAAAAUCAAUCAUAUUGAAAGAAAGGUCUACCCAUGAAAGACUGCUCUUCCACAACCAAUUGGGCACAAAACCAUGGAUAUGGUUGUUAGAAAGAUCUAAGCCAACCAACUUGUCUUGCCUUUUAAUGAAUUCUGGAAAUUCAGUAAGGUUGCAUGACCAUAGCCUUAGU
rnacentral:lncRNA from 1 species